CCUACGGGAGGCAGCAGUGGGGAAUAUUGGACAAUGGGCGCACGCCUGAUCCAGCAAUGCCGCGUGGGUGAAGACGGCCUGCGGGUUGUAAAGCCCUUUAGGUGGGGAAGAACGGUGUCGGGUGAAUAGCCAGGCAUUAUGACAUUACCCACGGAAUAAGCACCGGCUAACUCCGUGCCAGCAGCCGCGGUAAUACGGAGGGUGCGAGCGUUAAUCGGAAUGACUGGGCGUAAAGCGUGCGUAGGUGGUAGCGUUAGUCGGCCGUGAAAGUCCCUGGGCUUAACCUGGGAAUGGCGGUUGAAACGGCGCAACUUGAGUGGGUUAGAGGACUGUGGAACUCCUGGUGUAGCGGUGAAAUGCGUAGAGAUCAGGAAGAACACCGAUGGCGAAGGCAGCGGUCUGGGGCCACACUGACACUGAGGCACGAAAGCGUGGGGAGCAAACAGGAUUAGAUAGCCCUGGUAGUCCACGCGGUAAACGAUGAGCGCUAGACGUUGGGCAGGUGACUGCUCGGUGUCGAAGCUAACGCGCUAAGCGCUCCGCCUGGGGAGUACGGCCGCAAGGUUGAAACUCAAAGGAAUUGACGG
rnacentral:rRNA from 1 species